AGCCGCUGCGGCUGGGCGUCCGGUGCCGGCGUUUCGGGUGCCGGGGUUGCCGGCGUCUGUUGGACCUGGGCCGGCGGUUG
rnacentral:tRNA from 1 species